UACAGAGGAGCCAAGCGUUGUCCGGAUUGACUGGGCGUAAAGCGCACGUAGGCGGCCAAGUAAGUCAGGUGUGAAAUACCUCGGCUCAACCGAGGAACUGCGCCUGAUACUGCUUGGCUUGAGGUCCGGAGGGGAGAGUGGAAUUCCCGGUGGAGCGGUGAAAUGCGUAGAGAUCGGGAAGAACGCCGGCGGCGAAAGCGACUCUCUGGUCGGAAUCUGACGCUGAGGUGCGAAAGCUAGGGGAGCAAACGGG
rnacentral:rRNA from 1 species